AUAGGUGAACUCACCUGGUGCGCGCUGGGGUGUCGGGGGAUGGAGGUCUCCAAAGGCGUCAAGCUAGACGAGUCUCACCUGGGUCGCCAAAUUGUGGUGGGAGAAACCUCCCUAAGGUUCAUUGUCUAGCUGUAAUUUGAUUGACAGACAAUGCAGGUAAAGAAUUCAGCUGUUUAUUUGCUUGAGCAAAGACCAUAAAGCCAGCAAAAGGCAAAAUGGCCCCCCCUCAAGGGUGAGGCGAUCUUUUAUAUUUCUUACAACAAAGCAAGACUAUAUGGUUAACAAAAAGCAAUACUUGCGGCGGUGCUCUACAAAUCUUUGUAACAGCAUAUUUCUAUUAAGCUGAACUAGCACUUUUAAAAGCUAAAAGUUAAGUAACAGUAACAUUAUAAUAUGUUAGCAAAACCUUACACAGUAGAAGAUACUCCUCAAGGACGCAACCAGUAAGCUUAAAACAAUGGUUUCUCUGUCUUAUCUUACUUCUUGCUGUAGCUGAUUUUUUUUUAGCACACAGACACAGAUUCACUUUUUAACUCAGAAAAUGCUUGGUGCAGUUAAAAUGAUUACUUGACACAAGCAAAGGCUUAGCUAUCAUUCUGCCUUGUGGUCAGCUGCAUUGCUAGGCCACAGGUCAUGCCUUGUAUUUAGCUGUAAAGCUAAUACUUCUUAAUAAUCCAAAUUAUUGUAAACCUAACAGUAUGCUUUCAGAAAACUAUUCUAUUUCAGGGUAAUAACAAACCUGCGCACUACAAGUGCAGCUUUGCAACGUGCGACUGGAAAGAAGACAUUGCGAUGUGCUCCACAAGCAGCACUGUUAUGCAUUACUCCCAUUCCAUUGCUAGCUUCAUGCUGCUUCCAGAAGAGGAAGAGAAGAGGAAGAAGAAGAAGAGCCUAACACCACUUCCUUCAGCAUUCUCUCAACUACUAUAUAUUGUACUCCCAUUCCAUUGCUAGCUGCAUGCUGCUCCCAGAGCAGUAAGAGAAGAGGAAGAAGAGGAGGAGCCUGAUGAUACUUCCUUCAGCAUUCUCUCAAAUAUUAUACUAUUAUAUAUUAUAGUAUGUAUUAUACUUAGAGUAGACUUUUAUUAUAUAGACUUAUAUAUAGACAUGUUAUAUAGACAUAAUAUAAUGAGUACAGUAGACUUAUAUAUUAUAUACUAUUGUAUAUUAAAGUGUUAUUAUAAUAUGAAUAAUUGUAACUUAAGAUACCAAUGCUCUGGGCACCAUCUUGUCUUAGUAAUGACUGCACUCCUUUGUAGCUUGUGGAGUUCAGCCAUCUCUUCUCUGGCUUUAAUUUUCUUUAAUCUUCCAGUUGGCUUCAGCCAGUUCUACUAGUGUAUCCUUGGUUUCAGCUAAAAAGCAAUCCUUGGUCUGCACAUUUCCAUUAGGAGAAGGAGCUUUGGAGUUAGCAGUCAUUUUCUCUGAAUUUCCUGCACUGCAAGUUUUUUUCCUCAGGUCUGAAACCAGGUAAACCUGUACCAGGAAAGGGCCUCAUUCCCUCUUCCCUGCUCUUAUUCCCUGCUGCCUUGGCUCUAUUCCCUGCUGCAUGGCACGCGCACACACACACACGCACGCAUGCAUGCAUGCACGCAUGCAUGCAUGCACACACAGAGCACACUGCUUUGUGCUGGGGAAAAAUUCUCUCCCUGCCCAGGUCCCUUUUGUCCCAUGGCUGGAGCUUCUUAGCACCCUGCUUCUAGGUGGGGAAAAAUUCCCUCCCUAGGUCCCCCUACCCCUAUAUUUUCAAGUUUGGUCGUAGACUUCUACUGAUGCUAAAUGGAGUACUACAGCUUACUCCUUUAUCAUAACUGCUUACCCUUAACUCUGGGUGCUCUGCAGUCCUCCCUCCCUCCAUCCCUCCCUCCUGCCCCAUGGCUGGCACCUCUUAGUACCCUGCAUGUUGCUUGGGAAAAAUUACCACCCUACUGCCCUAUUGCCACAUGGCUGGGGGCUCCCUCCCUCCUUCUUUCCCAAGGAAAAGAGGGUUUUCAAUCAUUUUAAUCAAAAAUCCAUAAUCAACACAACUACUCACAUAAUCAAUAAAUGUAAUAAAAAGUUUAAAAAAUAAUCAAUAAAAGUAAUCAAAGAUAAAAACAAUUAAAAAAUCAAUAAAAUUAAGCUCUCUGCCUAGCUACCUCCUGGCCCAUGGCUGGUGGCUUAGUUGAUUGACCUCUGGCCAUGUCUCUUCAAAUGAGCAAGAUUUGCUCACUUUAUUGCAGAUCCUGAUGUUGCUGCAGUCCUCAGACUACCAUGAGAAUGCCUCCCUCCCUCCCUCUUUCCCAAGGAAAAGAGAGUUUUUGAUCAAAUUUUCAAUCAAAAAUCCAUAAUUAAUGCAAUUAAUCACAUAAUCAAUAAAAUCAAUCAAAAUCAAUCAAAUAAUCAAUUAAUCAGUCUAGUUAUCAUCCAGUCUAAUAAUCAAAUAAACGAUCUCUACGUUUUCUAAAGUGCUGUGUAGCAUGUCUGCCUUUUAAAAUGUUUUUUGCUACAGUGCAAGAACUUUCUGGUCUGGAAUUGGUGCUGCCCACAAAGCAUAGUGCUUCACCACUUGAGUACCAAUGGCAUCCUAGCUUCAAAACUACAUGAUGGGCCUUAUUAAUGUAAAUUAUUAUGAAUGUAAAUAAUUAAUGUAAAUAAUUAUUAAUGUAAAUAUUUACAAUAUUUACAGGUGGGUGGCUUGGUUAAAUAUUACAAUUGGUGAAAUAUGAAUAUGUUACUAAUAUUAUUAAAUAUUACAAUUGGUUAAAUAUUACAAUAAUUACAGGCAGGUGGCUUGGCUCUUACUGUGAAUGCACUGAUAUGCACUGUGAAUGUACUGUGUAUUUUCACUGAAAUGUAACUGACUCGUGAUUUUACUAAUGAAAAGGAAAAUAAAAAGACA